GAUGAAGAACGUAGCGAAAUGCGAUAAGUAAUGUGAAUUGCAGAAUUCAGUGAAUCAUCGAAUCUUUGAACGCACAUUGCGCCCCCUGGUAUUCCGGGGGGCAUGCCUGUCCGAGCGUCAUUACAACCCUCAAGCUCAGCUUGGUGUUGGGCCCCGCCGCCCCGGCGGGCCCUAAAGUCAGUGGCGGUGCCGUCCGGCUCCGAGCGUAGUAAUUCUUCUCGCUCUGGAGGUCCGGUCGUGUGCUCGCCAGCAACCCCCAAUUUUUUUCAGGUUGACCUCGGAUCAGGUAGGGAUACCCGCUGAACUUCAGCAUAUCAAUAAGCGGAGGA
rnacentral:misc_RNA from 1 species